rnacentral:rRNA from 1 species
UACGUAGGGCGCAAGCGUUGUCCGGAAUUAUUGGGCGUAAAGAGCUCGUAGGCGGCUUGUCACGUCGAUUGUGAAAGCCCGAGGCUUAACCUCGGGUCUGCAGUCGAUACGGGCUAGCUAGAGUGUGGUAGGGGAGAUCGGAAUUCCUGGUGUAGCGGUGAAAUGCGCAGAUAUCAGGAGGAACACCGGUGGCGAAGGCGCUCAUCUGGCCCAAUACUGACGCUGAGGCGCGAAAGCUAGGGGAGCAAACGGG